rnacentral:rRNA from 1 species
AUUGAACGCUGGCGGCAGGCCUAACACAUGCAAGUCGAGCGGAUGAAGGGAGCUUGCUCCUGGAUUCAGCGGCGGACGGGUGAGUAAUGCCUAGGAAUCUGCCUGGUAGUGGGGGAUAACGUCCGGAAACGGGCGCUAAUACCGCAUACGUCCUGAGGGAGAAAGUGGGGGAUCUUCGGACCUCACGCUAUCAGAUGAGCCUAGGUCGGAUUAGCUAGUUGGUGGGGUAAAGGCCUACCAAGGCGACGAUCCGUAACUGGUCUGAGAGGAUGAUCAGUCACACUGGAACUGAGACACGGUCCAGACUCCUACGGGAGGCAGCAGUAGGGAAUAUUGGACAAUGGGCGAAAGCCUGAUCCAGCCAUGCCGCGUGUGUGAAGAAGGUCUUCGGAUUGUAAAGCACUUUAAGUUGGGAAGAAGGGCAGUAAGUUAAUACCUUGCUGUUUUGACGUUACCAACAGAAUAAGCACCGGCUAACUUCGUG